rnacentral:rRNA from 1 species
AUUGAACGCUGGCGGCAGGCCUAACACAUGCAAGUCGAACGAGUGGCGGACGGGUGAGUAAUGUCUGGGAAACUGCCCGAUGGAGGGGGAUAACUACUGGAAACGGUAGCUAAUACCGCAUACCAUCGGAUGUGCCCAGAUGGGAUUAGAUUGUAGGUGAGGUAACGGCUCACCUAGGCGACGCUCCCUAGCUGGUCGGAGAGGAUGACCGGCCCCACUGGAACUGAGACACGUUCCAGACUCCUACGGGAGGCAGAAGGGGGGAAUAUGGCACAAUGGGCGCAAGCCUGAUGCAGCCAUGCCGCGUGUAUGAAGAAGGCCUUCGGGUUGUAAAGUACUUUCAGCGGGGAGGCGUUACCCGCAGAAGAAGCACCGGCUAACUCCGUGCCAGCAGCCGCGGUAAUAC